rnacentral:rRNA from 1 species
UACACAGGUGGGUGAGUGUAAAUGCACUAAGGCGCGCGAGAGAGACCUCUCUAAGGAACUCGGCACAUUAGCCUCGUAACUUCGGGAAAAGAGGUGCUCACUUCGGUGAGCCACAGUAAAUUGCGUUUAGCGACUGUUUAACAAAAACACAGCACUCUGCUAAGUCGUUAAGACGACGUAUAGGGUGUGACACGUGACCAAUGCGGAAAGAUUAAGGCAUUUUGUUAGCCGCAAGGCGAAGCUCGGUGCCAAAGUCCCCGUGAAUGUCGGCCGUAACUAUAACGGUCCUAAGGUAGCGAAAUUCCUUGUCGGGUAAGUUCCGACCUGCACGAAUCGUGUAACGACUGAACGACUGUCUCGGAGAGGAUCUCGGCGAAACUGUAACUGCGGUGAAGAUGCCGCAUGCCCGCAGUAGGACGGAAAGACCCUAUGCACCUUUACUGUAAGCUGGUAUUGUGUUCUGAUUAAUAAUGCGUAGCGUAGGUGGGAGGCUUUGAAGUGAGUGCUUCGGUGCUCAUGGAGCCGCAAUGUGAAACACCACUCUUUGCUAAUUAGGAUUCUAACCUCGAUUCCUGUCAACCAGGCGAGGGACAGUGCUUGCGGGUCAGUUUGACUGGGGCGGUUUCCUCCCAAAGAGUAACGGAGGAGCGCGAAGCUUGGCUCAGCACGGUUGGCAACCGUGCGUCGAGCGUAUGGGUAUAAGCCAGGUUAACUGUGAGACCUACAAGUCGAGCAGAUGCGAAAGCAGGCCCAAAUGAUCCGAUGGUUUAAUGUGGAAUUGCCAUCGCUCAACGGACAAAAGGUACGCUAGGGAUAACAGGCUGAUCGGUUCCAAGAGUUCACAUCGACGAACCGGUUUGGCACCUCGAUGUCGGCUCAUCGCAUCCUGGGGCUGGAGAAGGUCCCAAGGGUCCGGCUGUUCGCCGGUUAAAGCGGUACGCGAGCUGGGUUCAGAACGUCGUGAGACAGUUCGGUCCUUAUCCACUGUGGGCGCAGGAAUCUUGAGGGGUUCAUUCCCUAGUACGAGAGGACCGAGAAUGACGCACUUCUGGUGUGGCAGCUGUUCCAUCAGGGGCAUCGCUGCGUAGCCAUGUGCGGAAGAGAUAAGCGCUGAAAGCAUCUAAGUGCCAAGCUCAUCCCAAGAUAUGGAUUCCCGGACGCAAGUCCCUAAAGACCCCCGGCAGACUACCGGGUUGAUAGGUCAGGCAUGUAAGCGUCGCGAGAUGUUUAGUGGACUGAUACUAAUUGGUCGUGCGGCUUGAUCGC